AGAUCCCUGCCAUGUUCGUGAUCGACAGGAGUUUUUUUGAGCCAACACUCACUCAAAAGGGAACCUUCUCUUGCUUUGGUGUGCAAGUUCUGUGUCAUGCAGAAAAGCCUAAAGAAGCAACAAGGUACCCACCUGUACAAAGAGGUUCAAAAAAAUCUGCUGACACGGCAGAGCGGGGCACCC
rnacentral:other from 1 species